AAAAAUGUUAAUUAAAAAUUGACUAUAUAAGAAAAUUAAAGUUAAAGCACAAACUUGGAAAAUAUAGUUAUAAAAUAUAAAGUAUUUCUAAAAUAUGCGAAGAAAUAAUAAGAAAAAUGACACAAUAGAAAAAUGGAAAAAGAAUGUGAAAAGCAAACCAAACUUUCUGUAGUCAUCAGAAAAAUGCAAGAUAAUAUGUCACAUCCAUUAGACUGUGUAGAAAAACAGCCUGUUUCCUGGCAAGAGUGACACCAUCUUGAAGCAAAACUAUCCUGGGGACUGAUGUUUGACCCACAGCAUACCGAGGUGUUCUGCAGCAAAGGUCUUUAAACAAUGCUCAUAACAUAUAUAACCCCUCAUAAAGAUGCUUAUCUAACGUCCCCAGUGAUCACAAUAGUCUAAGAGCUAACUAGUUGCACUUGUCUUUACCCUAGAGGCUUGCUAAAUAAAGCAUACUUUCUGGAGGGCAAGUGCAGGGGUCGCUUCUGUUUGUCUCUACUAAGUAUUUCUUUCUGAGAAAUUCGAUUGGUCAGCCUCUUUGGUCUCCCAGCUUCC
rnacentral:lncRNA from 1 species